UACAGAGGGGGCCAGCGUUGUUCGGAAUUACUGGGCGUAAAGGGCGCGUAGGCGGCCUGCUAAGUCGAACGUGAAAUCCCUGGGCUCAACCCAGGAACUGCGUCCGAUACUGGCAGGCUUGAAUCCGGGAGAGGGAUGCGGAAUUCCAGGUGUAGCGGUGAAAUGCGUAGAUAUCUGGAGGAACACCGGUGGCGAAGGCGGCAUCCUGGACCGGCAUUGACGCUGAGUGAGCGAAAGCCAGGGGAGCAAACGGG
rnacentral:rRNA from 1 species